rnacentral:miRNA from 2 species
GAGAGAUCAGAGGCGCAGAGUG